rnacentral:rRNA from 1 species
GGGUUGUGAGGUUAAGCGACUAAGCGUACACGGUGGAUGCCCUGGCAGUCAGAGGCGAUGAAGGGCGUGCUAAUCUGCGAUAAGCGCCGGUAAGGUGAUAUGAACCGUUAUAACCGGCGAUACCCGAAUGGGGAAACCCAGUGUGACUCGUCACACUAUCAUUAACUGAAUCCAUAGGUUAAUGAGGCGAACCGGGGGA